CUAGUAAUCGCAGAUCAGAAUGCUGCGGUGAAUACGUUCCCGGGUCUUGUACACACCGCCCGUCACACCAUGGGAGUCGGAAAUGCCCGAAGUCAGUGGCCCAACCGCAAGGAGGGAGCUGCCGAAGGCAGGUCCGGUGACUGGGGUGAAGUCGUAACAAGGUAUC
rnacentral:rRNA from 1 species